CGCAUCUGUGCAUGCAGCAUAUCAAUAAGCGGAGGAAAAGAAACUAACAAGGAUUCCCUCAGUAACGGCGAGUGAAGCGGGAAGGAGCUCAAAUUUGAAAUCUUGAAAGGUCACCUUUCACGAAUUGUAGUUUAAAGAAGUGUUUCUCUGUUACGAUCGUAAUAUAAGUUCUUUGGAAUAGGACAUCACAGAGGGUGAGAAUCCCGUCUAUGAUUGCGAUUUGUAGCUUUGUGAUACACUUUCAAAGAGUCGGGUUGUUUGGGAAUGCAGCCCAAAACGGGAGGUAAAUUUCUUCUAAAGGCUAAAUAUUGGCGAGAGACCGAUAGCGAACAAGUACCGUGAGGGAAAGAUGAAAAGGAACUUUGAAAAGAGAGUUAAAUAGUACGUGAAAUUGUCAAAAGGGAAGCGUUUAACACCAGUGUUGUUUUCUGAAAAUCAACCUCUGUUAGCUUUAUGCAUGUUUGUUUAGACCUAAUCAGCUAUCUUGCAUGUUCUAUUGUUUGCAGUGGUGCACUUUUCAGUUUACAGGUCAACAUCAGUUUUUUUUACCGUAAAAAAGUUAAAGAAAGGUAGCUCAUGGCUCCGGUCGUGAGUGUUAUAGUCUUUUUCCUAUGCGGUAGGAGAGACUGAGGUCCUGCAGUGUAGGCUAUUUGGCUAGAUACUCAGGUGCUAUGUGAUACCAUUUCAUAAAGCAACUUGUUGAUUAUGUUUUGUCUAUUGCAUACUCGCUUGUACUAUCCAUACCUACGCUUAGGAUGUUGACGAUCAGCUGGCGCG
rnacentral:rRNA from 1 species